UCUUUGUUCGGCUGGUAUUUGCGCUCCUCCAUCAUCAAGCAGCCCGGACCACAGGCCGCCCGGAGCGGGGAGCAGAGGACCGUACGCCACCGGGGAUAUCUGUGGGAAAAACGCAGUGAAAUUGCAAUUUAUGAUGGUGGAAACUCAGAGGAGAACUGCUACUACAACAUAGCGUCGAGAUGAUUCCCAUACACAGAGAAGGAGAAAGGUCGUUCAUUGUGAUGACGGUCUCAAUCCGGCCGGUUUCCUCUGCUUAAGGACUACAUUUCCCAUGGAGCUGUGCACUGACACACACACUGUUGUACCAUGGAGCCACCAGUCAGGGUUUUGGACCCAAAGAGCCAGUGAGACAGAAGAAGACCUGAUAUUGUGAUAUCUUCCUCCCGUCGUCUCCCCACUUUGCAUCGAUCCUGCUCGUCUUCCUGCAGACCGUCCUUCUCUCUGAAGGCCUCGUCUGGCCGGCUGGAUCAACACCCCCGACCCCCCC